rnacentral:rRNA from 1 species
GUAGGGGGCGAGCGUUGUCCGGAUUUAUUGGGCGUAAAGAGCUCGUAGGCGGUUCGAUAAGUCGGAUGUGAAAUCUCCACGCUCAACGUGGAGAGGCCAUUCGAUACUGUCGUGACUCGAGUCCGGUAGGGGAGUGUGGAAUUCCCGGUGUAGCGGUGAAAUGCGCAGAGAUCGGGAGGAACACCCGUAGCGAAGGCGGCACUCUGGGCCGGUACUGACGCUGAGGAGCGAAAGCGUGGGGAGCAAACAGGAUUAGAUACCCUGGUAGUCCACGCCGUAAACGUUGGGCACUAGGUGUGGGACUCUAUCGACGGGUUCCGUGCCGUAGCUAACGCAUUAAGUGCCCCGCCUGGGGAGUACGGCCGCAAGGCUA